AUGAAUUUUCGCACUUGUUACAUUAUGCCAUUUGUCAGGCAUUUCAAAGGAGGCCGUCCAGAUUAGCAGUCUGGCAUCUCUAGCUCUGAAACAUUUGUUUGAAACAUUUAUAGCGUUCGUUUUGCCACGGAGACCUUCUGCUUCCAGCCUGGUCCAUUGAAAUGGAUAUGCAGAAAUGCAGAAAUUAUCCCUCGCCCACAUUUUAUGUUCGCCCUCCAGUACGUUGAGCUGGUUAUAAUUCAAGCUUUAAAGGCUGGAGCGCAGGUUGCUCCUUCAGGGUCUUUUGUUACCCCCUUCAGCGUUUUUUGUUCCAGUACAGGUUAUUCCCAGUCCGGCGCCGCUGAAUUAAUGGAGAAUUAAAGAGCAUCGGCUGAGUGAAGCCUCUCAGAAUCCCAACCCAGAUGAAAGCGGCAGGGGCGGACAAAGCUGUUCUAUCGAUUGACCUAACAGAGGGAUUGAUUGAGGCGCAUUUGCAUGGAGAUCUGUUCCACGGCGGCUUAGAGAUCCUGAUCGAUCGCCCGGGAUUGAAGUGUAGUCGUCUCUGGAUGCUUUUCAGAGGUUGAGAACCUUGCAGUCCAUCUCUCAUGGGGGCAAGCGAUGAACAUUUCCCCUUAUUUGGUUAGUUUGUUUUUGUCUCUGAAACAAUGUAUAUCCAUAUGCUAAUGAAAGUUUACUACUACACAAAUUCACUCAUAAAUCAAUGCUGUUAAGAACCCAAGCUGUUUCUGUUCAUCCAAAACACCCUUCACGCGC
rnacentral:lncRNA from 1 species